rnacentral:rRNA from 1 species
GACGAACGCUGGCGGCGUGCCUAAUACAUGCAAGUCGAACGCAUUUUCUUUCACCGUAGCUUGCUACACCGAAAGAAAAUGAGUGGCGAGCGGGUGAGUAACACGUGGGUAACCUGCCCAUCAGCGGGGGAUAACACUUGGAAACAGGUGCUAAUACCGCAUAAUUCCAUUUACCGCAUGGUAGAUGGGUGAAAGGCGCUUUUGCGUCACUGAUGGAUGGACCCGCGGUGCAUUAGCUAGUUGGUGGGGUAACGGCCUACCAAGGCUGCGAUGCAUAGCCGACCUGAGAGGGUGAUCGGCCACACUGGGACUGAGACACGGCCCAGACUCCUACGGGAGGCAGCAGUAGGGAAUCUUCGGCAAUGGACGCAAGUCUGACCGAGCAACGCCGCGUGAGUGAAGAAGGUUUUCGGAUCGUAAAACUCUGUUGUUAGAGAAGAACAAGGAUGAGAGUGGAAAGUUCAUCCCUUGACGGUAUCUAACCAGAAAGCCACGGCUAACUACGUG